rnacentral:rRNA from 1 species
GUGUCAGCCGCCGCGGUAAUACGAAGGGGGCUAGCGUUGCUCGGAAUUACUGGGCGUAAAGCGCACGUAGGCGGGUCGAUAAGUCGGGGGUGAAAUCCUGGAGCUCAACUCCAGAACUGCCUUCGAAACUGUCGAUCUUGAGUUCGGGAGAGGUGAGUGGAACUGCGAGUGUAGAGGUGAAAUUCGUAGAUAUUCGCAAGAACACCAGUGGCGAAGGCGGCUCACUGGCCCGAUACUGACGCUGAGGUGCGAAAGCGUGGGGAGCAAACAGGAUUAGAUACCCCCGUAGUCC